UAUUACUAGCAUUGGAGACAAGGAUAAUAGUUUGUUUGAAAGAGAAAAGAACAGGCUUUGAAGUAAGCCUAAAAGCGUUUAACUAGAAAUAGUAUUUCGAAAGUUAUUAAGCACAAGAGAUGAAUUGCGUUUAUUUUGAUACACCCUGUUGUUUAAAAUUGAACAGAUACACCCCGUAUGCUAUGACAUUUUCAAAAAGCAGUAAAUGACAAUGCCGAAAACUUCAACGUCCUUCGAAACUACUUGUCAAACUUUGAAAAACAAAAUUUGUGAGGAAAAACCCUUGCGCCCGCGAAAAUUUCACCCAGCAACGACAAAAGUCUCCUUUGUUCUGCAGACAAUAAAUUUAGUAGAACUCGACGACAAAGCCAGUCGAAACAUGUAUAUACGUGCAUGAAACUCGGUAAACUCCAAAGCGUUUAUAACGAGCUCCGAUUUUAUGUUCAUAUGACUUCACCCUGUGCAAACAUUUUGAAAUUUCGCCUAUUCAUAUUUCAACAGUAUGUUGAGCAAUUCGAUGAGAUGAUGUCAUUGCUUCACUAAGCCAAAAAAUCAUUGUCUUUUAAGUCUGCAUAAACGUGAGCAAAAACACAGAACAAGGAUUAUAGGCGAGUUUCCAGGCCAUAUCUUGACUGAUGUAGGAUAACUGAGAAACAGGUGAAGUUUAUACAUAUCAGUUUAACUUCAAUAUGUAUAUUUAACAAUGUAGUGUAGUUAGUGUGAAGAAAGGUAAAGAGACGAUGGGACCAAGCCAUUCUACAACACAGACACCGGGUAUCUCUGUUUUAGGCCGAAACAUUACUUUUCACUCAGAAACUUGGAUUCGUAAAAUUUUGUUUUGGAAAUAAGGCGGCGUGUCACUCGAGGAUUUACUGUAUUAAUAGUCGAAUAAUUUAUUCCAUGUGUUCACUGUUUUAUGUGUCCCCUUGUUGAGGCAAAAGUUUCUAAAGGGAAGACAUUUCCUUCAACCACGUUGUUUGCACCGUCUAACAUGGCCACCAUGCAUGACGUCACAAAAACAACACUCUUACUAUAUACGCGAUAUUUAAGGGAAGGUUUUGGGAGUUGUAUUCAAUGGCCAAAUGAAGAAAUUGCAAUUGACGUUUACAUAAGACAAAAAGAAAGUUUUCUCAAUUUGUUUUUUUUUGUGUACGUUCUUCCCAUUCUGCAUGUUCUUGGUGAUGGUACAUAUGUGAUGACGUGAGUGCUUAAGCAGUCAAUUAUUUUAGUCAACGCGGAUGUUGCGCAUACAAAAUCGUCCAUUCUUUUUUGAAUCCUGAUGCUACAUCGUGUGAACAGUGCAAAGAAUUGUGAAAUGUUAAUUCACUAUAUAAAUAGAUCAUUUACCGUCGUACGCAAAUAUAAUUGUAUGCUUGAAUAAAAGGGUUUUUUUCAAGUCCAAUGUUCUGACGUGAUUCCCUCAAAAGCUCCUUGGCCUUGGAAACAAUGGAUGCUUAUACGCUCAAGAAAAAUUAAAGCGCCUAUGUCGUGCUGUCAUGGAAUUUGCAUUUUUUCGAUUAUUCGGGUUUUAAGAACUUUUGUGGUGUAUUAUAUAUUUCAAAAUUCAACUUUUUGGUCCUCAAAGUUAGGGACCAUGACAUGGCAAUUUAAUCUUUUCUAACUUAAUGUGGCUCCCCACAGUUAGAUCAGUUAAAAAAACGAUUUAUUUAGAUCGGACGUUAUCCUCGCGACCCGCGCGUGAAAUGUUCAUGGCUCUGUAAAAAUAUUGAAACAAGCAGCGGGACGUUUUUCUGGCGUUUUUAUUUGUGGUAGUAGUAGAUUUAUUCAGCCUCCCCUUAGGGCUUUUCAGGUUUAAAUUACAAUAUUACGUCUUGAAAUUUACAAUAUCAAAAGCAAAUAGCUAUUAUAAGUUAUUACAUAUAUUAAAAUGUUAAAAGUACAUUAUAAGGACCAUGUACAUCAUAAAAUCUAAAAAUAAGUUCCUUUCAAAGUUGAAAUGUUUGAAAACUUUUCCUGAAGACGUUUCUUCACUGCUUCCUUAAAUUGGGGUGAAGAUUUUUAACUGUCUCUCCUGUUCUUCAUGCGAAUUCCAAAGUUUACACGCUCUAACUAUAAAAGUGCGUUCAGUUUUUUUUUAUAUACGACAUUUAGGCGGUCUCAAUUCGUCCU
rnacentral:lncRNA from 1 species